rnacentral:rRNA from 1 species
AGCAGCAGCCACGGUAAUACGGAGGGUGCAAGCGUUGUUCGGAAUUACUGGGCGUAAAGCGCGCGUAGGCGGUUACUCAAGUCAGAGGUGAAAGCCCGGGGCUCAACCCCGGAACUGCCUUUGAAACUAGGUAACUAGAAUCUUGGAGAGGUCAGUGGAAUUCCGAGUGUAGAGGUGAAAUUCGUAGAUAUUCGGAAGAACACCAGUGGCGAAGGCGACUGACUGGACAAGUAUUGACGCUGAGGUGCGAAAGCGUGGGGAGCAAACAGGAUUAGAUACCCCGGUAGUCCCUGUCUCUUAUAC